rnacentral:rRNA from 13 species
UUGGCUUAGAAGCAGCCAUCCUUUAAAGAAAGCGUAACAGCUCACUGGUCUAAUUAAGACGUCCUGCGCCGAAAAUGUAACGGGGCUAAAGUCAUACACCGAAGAUGCGGGCGCAAUUUAUUGCGCGGUAGCGGAGCGUUCUGUAAGCCUGCGAAGGGAGCACGCGAGUGUUUCUGGAGGUAUCAGAAGUGAGAAUGCUGACAUGAGUAACGACAAGGAGGGUGAGAAACCCUCCCGCCGAAAGUCCAAGGGUUCCUGCGCAAUGUUAAUCAGCGCAGGGUUAGUCGGCCCCUAAGGCGAGGGCGAAAGCCGUAGUCGAUGGGAAGCAGGUUAAUAUUCCUGCACUAGUGGGUAGUGACGAAUUGCGUAAGUUGUUCCUCCUUAUUGGAUUGGAGGGGCCGCGAAGCAGUUCCAGGAAAUAGCUCCCACAUUAUAACCGUACCCGAAACCGACACAGGUGGACUGGUAGAGUAUACCAAGGCGCUUGAGAGAACGAUGUUGAAGGAACUCGGCAAAUUGCCUCCGUAACUUCGGGAGAAGGAGGCCCACCAGGGAGGCAACUCUUUGGUGGGGGCACAGACCAGGGGGUAGCGACUGUUUAUUAAAAACACAGGGCUCUGCGAAGUUGCAAAACGACGUAUAGGGUCUGACGCCUGCCCGGUGCCGGAAGGUUAAGAGGAGAGGUGCAAGCUUUGAAUCGAAGCCCCGGUAAACGGCGGCCGUAACGAUAACGGUCCUAAGGUAGCGAAGUUCCUUGUCGGGUAAGUUCCGACCCGCACGAAAGGCGUAACGAUCAGGGCGCUGUCUCGGAGAGAGGCUCGGCGAAAUAGAAUUGUCUGUGAAGAUGCGGACUACAUACACCCGGACAGAAAGACCCUAUGAAGCUUUACUGUAGCUUGGUAUUGUGCCCGGGCUCUGAAUGCGCAGGAUAGGUGGGAGACGUUGAUCUAGUGCUCGUGGGUGCUAGGGAGUCAAUGGUGAGAUACCACUCUUUCAGAGCUAGGGUUCUAACGUUCACCCGUUAUCCGGGGAGCGGACAGUAUCAGGUGGGCAGUUUGACUGGGGCGGUCGCCUCCUAAAAGGUAACGGAGGCGCGCAAAGGUUUCCUCAGGCUGGUUGGAAAUCAGCCGACGAGUGCAAAAGCAGAAGGAAGCUUGACUGUGAGACCUACAAGUCGAACAGGGACGAAAGUCGGCUUUAGUGAUCCGACGGUUCUGAGUGGAAGGGCCGUCGCUCAACGGAUAAAAGUUACUCUAGGGAUAACAGGCUGAUCUCCCCCAAGAGUUCACAU